rnacentral:lncRNA from 1 species
CCUUCCUGACUUGCGACCCCAGACUCUAGAGGAGGGAGCCACGUUCUCUCCUACCCGUUCCAGUGCCUCUGAGGCCGUCAGCAAGGUCCAGUGAAGGAUGUCAGACUAAAUCACCAGGAUGGAGAGCCACCUCCCACUCAGCCCCACACUGCUCAGUCUGGAGUCCUAGCAUGAGAAGGGAGUCCACCUACCCUGGAUUAGGGACGUGAACCUGCCUCAGGGAAUUCCUAAGCCCGGCUCCCGAGAGGCCUGAGGGCUUCUGUAAAUGGGCCAUCCCUGAGGGAAGUGACAGACCCAGACCUCUGAAGACGACCGGACCCUGCCUGCCAGCUAAGCCCACCUUUCUCAGGAUGUCCCAAGACCAGAAUCAUUGGUAUCCCCUGAGAACUUCUUAAAACACAACAAGGAGAAUCUGAGAAACCUUCACCGCCAAGAGGAGGCCAAGGAGAUGGCAACUAAAUUCAUUAUGGUUUCCUGGACAGGAUCCUGGAACAGAACAUUA